AGAGUUUGAUCCUGGCUCAGGACGAACGCUGGCGGCGUGCCUAACACAUGCAAGUCGAGCGGGCCUGUCAAGGCGUUAUGUUUUGGCAGGUUUAGCGGCGGACGGGUGAGUAACGCGUGAGCAACCUACCCUUGAGACAGGGAUAACCCUGGGAAACCGGGGCUAAUACCUGAUAUACUCUAUUAGGGCAUCCUGAUGGAGGAAAGGACGGGAAGCCGCUCAAGGAUGGGCUCGCGUCCCAUCAGCUAGUUGGUGAGGUAACGGCUCACCAAGGCGACGACGGGUGGCCGGCCUGAGAGGGUGGUCGGCCACACUGGGACUGAGACACGGCCCAGACUCCUACGGGAGGCAGCAGUGGGGAAUCUUCCGCAAUGGGCGAAAGCCUGACGGAGC
rnacentral:rRNA from 1 species